rnacentral:rRNA from 1 species
UCUUUAUCACCGAGUGCUUGCACUCACCGAUAAAGAGUUGAGUGGCGAACGGGUGAGUAACACGUGGGCAACCUGCCCAAAAGAGGGGGAUAACACUUGGAAACAGGUGCUAAUACCGCAUAACCAUAGUUACCGCAUGGUAACUAUGUAAAAGGUGGCUAUGCUACCGCUUUUGGAUGGGCCCGCGGCGCAUUAGCUAGUUGGUGGGGUAAAGGCUUACCAAGGCAAUGAUGCGUAGCCGAACUGAGAGGUUGAUCGGCCACAUUGGGACUGAGACACGGCCCAAACUCCUACGGGAGGCAGCAGUAGGGAAUCUUCCACAAUGGGCGAAAGCCUGAUGGAGCAACGCCGCGUGGGUGAAGAAGGUCUUCGGAUCGUAAAACCCUGUUGUUAGAGAAGAAAGUGCGUGAGAGUAACUGUUCACGUUUCGACGGUAUCUAACCAGAAAGCCACGGCUAACUACGUGCCAGCAGCCGCGGUAAUACGUAGGUGGCAAGCGUUAUCCGGAUUUAUUGGGCGUAAAGGGAACGCAGGCGGUCUUUUAAGUCUGAUGUGAAAGCCUUCGGCUUAACCGGAGUAGUGCAUUGGAAACUGGGAGACUUGAGUGCAGAAGAGGAGAGUGGAACUCCAUGUGUAGCGGUGAAAUGCGUAGAUAUAUGGAAGAACACCAGUGGCGAAAGCGGCUCUCUGGUCUGUAACUGACGCUGAGGUUCGAAAGCGUGGGUAGCAAACAGGAUUAGAUACCCUGGUAGUCCACGCCGUAAACGAUGAAUGCUAAGUGUU